rnacentral:rRNA from 1 species
GAUAAACGCUGGCGGCGUGCAUAACACAUGCAAGUCGAACGAUGAAACUUAGAUGAUUUCUUCGGAAUGAACUUAAGCGGAUUAGUGGCGAACGGGUGAGUAACACGUGAGUAACCUGCCUUACACAAGGGGAUAGCCUUUGGAAACGAAGAAUAAUACCCUAUAACGUCAAUUUAUCGCAUGAUAGAAUGACCGAAGAUUUAUCGGUGUAAGAUGGACUUGCGUCUGAUUAGCUAGUUGGUGAGAUAAAGGCCCACCAAGGCAACGAUCAGUAGCCGGCUUGAGAGAGUGUACGGCCACAUUGGGACUGAGACACGGCCCAAACUCCUACGGGAGGCAGCAGUGGGGAAUUUUGCACAAUGGGGGAAACCCUGAUGCAGCGACGCCGCGUGAUUUAGAAGGCCUUCGGGUUGUAAAAAUCUUUUUUAUGGGAUGAAAAUGACAGUACCAUAAGAAUAAGGUCCGGCUAAAUACGUGCCAGCAGCCGCGGUAAUACGUAUGGACCGAGCGUUGUCCGGAAUCAUUGGGCGUAAAGGGUACGUAGGCGGCCCAGUAAGUUAGAAGUGAAAUAAUAUAGCUCAACUAUAUAAAGCUUUUAAAACUGCUAGGCUUGAGAGAUGGAAGGGAAAGUGGAAUUCCUAGUGUAGCGGUGAAAUGCGCAGAUAUUAGGAAGAAUACCGGUGGCGAAGGCGACUUUCUGGUCAUCAUCUGACGCUGAGGUACGAAAGCGUGGGUAGCAAACAGGAUUAGAUACCCUGGUAGUCCACGCUGUAAACGAUGAGUGUUAGGUUCUUGGAAUAAUCUGGGAGCCGCAGCUAACGCAUUAAACACUCCGCGUGGGGAGUACGCACGCAAGUGUG